CUUACAGGUAAGUUCAGUGAGUGCUAAAACCACGGUCAACAUGAAAGGUCAUAGUUAAUGACCACAUCACCAUCUUCUGCGACGCUCUGAAGCUGAUGUUUGCUUCAUACUACUGCUUGAACAUUUCAUACACAGGAAACCAAGGAGAAACGCAAGAGAUUGUGCAAAGAUUCCUUUUUAAGAUGAACCCCGAGAAGGGAUCGAAAGUGGAGAAGACCACAUCGAGAAAGUAAUCAGCAGUCAGUCCAAAGGUUCUUUCACUGAUUAACAAGAUUGCGGACUUUGAAAGAAUGGAGUAAAACUUGGAGUGUCAGAUCUUCCUACAUUGCCUAGCAGAAAUUCUUGACAGUGUCACAGACAUAAAAUACUUGCUGAUUAUUUGC